rnacentral:rRNA from 1 species
ACACGUACGAGUUGAUCCUGGCUCAGAACGAACGUUAGCGGCGCGCCUAACACAUGCAAGUCGAGCGGAGGGUUUCGGCCCUCAGCGGCGGACGGGUGAGUAACACGUAGGUUACGUGCCCUUUGGUGGGGAAUAACUUAGGGAAACCUGAGCUAAUACCGCAUAUGUCCUUCGGGAUGAAAGCCUUCGGGCGUCAGAGGAUCGGCCUGCGGCCCAUUAUUUAAUCCUAGUUGGUAGGGUAAUGGCCUACCAAGGGUACGAUGGGUAGCUGGUCUGAGAGGAUGAUCAGCCGCACUGGAACUGAGACACGGUUCAGACUCCUACGGGAGGCAGCAGUGGGGAAUAUUGGACAAUGGGCGAAAGCCUGAUCCAGCCACGCCGCGUGGGUGAUGAAGGCCUUCGGGUUGUAAAGCCCUGUCGGGAGGGACGAAUCAAUGACGGUACCUCCCAAGAAAGCACCGGCUAACUCCGUG